rnacentral:rRNA from 1 species
CCUACGGGAGGCAGCAGUGGGGAAUAUUGCACAAUGGGCGCAAGCCUGAUGCAGCGACGCCGCGUGAGGGAUGACGGCCUUCGGGUUGUAAACCUCUUUCAGUAGGGAAGAAGCGAAAGUGACGGUACCUGCAGAAGAAGCCCG